rnacentral:tRNA from 1 species
GGGCCCGUAGCUCAGCAAGGCUAGAGCACCGGACUUUUAAUCCGGGGGUCGUGGGUUCAAUUCCCGCCGGGCCCGCCA